CGGCGGACGGGUGAGUAAUGCCUAGGAAUCUGCCUGGUAGUGGGGGACAACGUUUCGAAAGGAACGCUAAUACCGCAUACGUCCUACGGGNGAAAGCAGGGGACCUUCGGGCCUUGCGCUAUCAGAUGAGCCUAGGUCGGAUUAGCUAGUUGGUGAGGUAAUGGCUCACCAAGGCGACGAUCCGUAACUGGUCUGAGAGGAUGAUCAGUCACACUGGAACUGAGACACGGUCCAGACUCCUACGGGAGGCAGCAGCC
rnacentral:rRNA from 1 species